UACGAAGGGAGCGAGCGUUGUUCGGAAUCACUGGGCUUAAAGCGUGCGUAGGCGGAUCUGUAAGUCAGAAGUGAAAUCCCUGGGCUUAACCCAGGAAUUGCUUUUGAGACUGCAAGUCUAGAAACCGGAAGAGGUUAGCGGAACUCCCAGUGUAGAGGUGAAAUUCGCAGAUAUUGGGAAGAACACCAGUGGCGAAGGCGGCUAACUGGUCCGGCAUUGACGCUGAGGCACGAAAGCGUGGGUAGCAAAC
rnacentral:rRNA from 1 species